GCACAAGCAGUGGAGUAUGUGGUUUAAUUCGAAGCAACGCGAAGAACCUUACCAGGUCUUGACAUCCGAUGCAUAGCACAGAGAUGUGUGAAAUCCUUCGGGACAUCGAGACAGGUGGCGCAUGGUUGUCGUCAGCUCGUGUCGUGAGAUGUUGGGUUAAGUCCCGCAACGAGCGCAACCCUUAUUGCCAGUUACUACGUUAAGAGGACUCUGGCGAGACUGCCGUUGACAAAA
rnacentral:rRNA from 1 species